rnacentral:tRNA from 1 species
GGUGACUCAAUGGUAGAGCACAUGCCUUGCAUGCAUGAAGCCCUGGGUUCAAUUCCUCAGCACCA